GAUGAACGCUGGCGGCGUGCCUAAUACAUGCAAGUCGAGCGAACGGACGAGAAGCUUGCUUUUCUGAUGUUAGCGGCGGACGGGUGAGUAACACGUGGAUAACCGACCUAUAAGACUGGGAUAACUUCGGGAAACCGGAGCUAAUACCGGAUAAUAUUUUGAACGGCAUGGUUCAAAAGUGAAAGACGGUCUUGCUGUCACUUAUAGAUGUAUCCGCGCUGCAUUAGCUAGUUGGUACGGUAACGGCUUACCAAGGCAACGAUGCAUAGCCGACCUGAGAGGGUGAUCGGUCACACUGGAACUGAGACACGGUCCAGACUCCUACGGGAGGCAGCAGUAGGGAAUCUUCCGCAAUGGGCGAAAGCCUGACGGAGCAACGCCGCGUGAGUGAUGAAGGUCUUCGGAUCGUAAAACUCUGUUAUUAGGGAAGAACAUAUGUGUAAGUAACUGUGCACAUCUUGACGGUACCUAAUCAGAAAGCCACGGCUAACUACGUG
rnacentral:rRNA from 1 species